UACGUAGGGCGCAAGCGUUAUCCGGAAUUAUUGGGCGUAAAGAGCUCGUAGGCGGUUUGUCGCGUCUGCCGUGAAAGUCCGGGGCUCAACUCCGGAUCUGCGGUGGGUACGGGCAGACUAGAGUGCAGUAGGGGAGACUGGAAUUCCUGGUGUAGCGGUGAAAUGCGCAGAUAUCAGGAGGAACACCGAUGGCGAAGGCAGGUCUCUGGGCCGAUACUGACGUGAGGAGCGAAAGCGUGGGGAGCGAAACAGGAUUAGAACCUACCGUAGUCAGUCC
rnacentral:rRNA from 1 species